rnacentral:rRNA from 1 species
AGUGAACGCUGGCGGUAGGCCUAACACAUGCAAGUCGAACGGCAGCACAGUAAGAGCUUGCUCUUACGGGUGGCGAGUGGCGGACGGGUGAGGCAUACAUCGGAAUCUACUUUUUCGUGGGGGAUAACGUAGGGCCACUUACGCUAAUACCGCAUACGACCUACGGGUGAAAGCAGGGGAUCUUCGCACCUUGCGCGACUGAAUGAGCCGAUGUCGGAUUAGCUAGUUGGCGUGGUAAAGGCCCACCAAGGCGACGAUCCGUAGCUGAUCUGAGAGGAUGAUCGGCCACACUGGAACUGAGACACGGUCCAGACUCCUACGGGAGGCAGCAGUAGGGAAUAUUGGGCAAUGGGCGCAAGCCUGACGCAGCCAUGCCGCGUGAGUGAUGAAGGCCUUCGGGUUGUAAAACCCUUUUAUUAGGGAAGAAAAGAAGCGGAAGAAAACCCGGCUGUUCUGACGGUACCCAAUCAGUAAGCAACGGCUAACUUCGUG